rnacentral:tRNA from 1 species
AAUUACUAGUUCCGGGUUCGAGUCCCGGGCAACCCA